AUACUUACCUGGGCGGGGCCUAUCGCUGGUCAGGAAGGGCGAUGACCUAGGACCGGCUCCCCCAUUGCACAUCGGUCGGGCUAGUCCUAGCAUUUCCCUAAGGGGAAAAUGCACGUCUAUUUGUGGCAGAGGAGGGCUCGCGUUCGCGCGGCCCUCCA
rnacentral:snRNA from 1 species